GGUUCCGGGCGGGCGGACGGGGGACGGCCCGAGUGAGGCGUCCUCCGAAGGCUGCGGGCCAGAAGCCAGAACUCCUCUCCAAAGACCUCGGGGGUGGGGCUCGCGCUUCCGCAGCGGGCCCAGAGCGAGAGGCAGGCAGCAGAGUUCUCUACAACCCAGACUCUGCAGUACCAAGGCUGCAGUUCUUUAUGUGCUGGGGGCUGGGGCUCUCUCCCUGGGAGCAGUUUGGCUCGAUGUGGACAGCUGGACAAAGGCCGUCUUGGCAAGACGUGGGGAUAAGCUUCUCCCAAGGAGUCUCGGCAUCCCCCGCCCCAGGAGGUUGAGGCUAGCAGACACCCCCUGACGAUUCACAGCUGAUUUAAUGCUACGUGAGUCCUGAGUAGCUCCCCUGGGAGAAGAGGCUAAGCUGGGGCAAUGGGGAAGGGGGUGCUAUUCUUAGAGAAAUCUGGAAGAGGUUUGAGGAGUCACAUGCAUGUGGACAGCUCAAGACUGUGUCCCGUCACCCCAUCUCCUGGCUUGCUAUGCUCCUAGAGUCACUGACCUGCCCUGCCAGAGGGCAGCCAUGAAAGUGCUUUGAGGUCAUCAGAGUGCAAAGUGCCGUCGGCAGUACCCUCUGGCCAGGGGCAGGGCAGGGUGAAUGUCAGUGUGCUGCUAAGCUGUGCUCUGGGGACCAGCACGCUGGACACUGAUAGUGGGGCUGGGGCGCUGGAGCGUCUCUGUCUGCUGCUUUCCUUAGCAGUGAUCAUGUCCAUUCACAGACUGUUCCUGUCAGGCACAUCCUGCAUCACCCUUCACCUUUACAGAUGAGGGAACUGAGUGCCAGCGAGUCUGGGGCAGUGCUGGGCCUGAAGGGGCUCGGGGCCUGCUGCUCUGGAGAAGAGUGGUAGCCAGCGGCAAAGGGGCACGUGUCUGGGGACUGAGAACCACUUCACUUACACACCUUCUUUGGUCCUUGGCUGAACCAGAGGUCACCUCAGGACCUGUGUUGCAACAACCUGAAAAGUGGUGUAUUCUACCAGGGAGCCUUCCCAGGGUCAGGCAUUCCUUUCCCCUAUACCCAACAGGGGUGAGCUGGCCAGGUGAGGCCAGGCAAGGGGGUCAGAGGGCCCCCUUAACCUACGGGCGGGCAUACCUGCUGACCUGGUUCUGCACUGAACCUGAGUGUGGGCCCUUACACACUUGACACUCUCAUACCAGCCUGGAGGGUGAGGGGCCGAGGGGCUUGCCCACCCCUUCUGACCCAGGCUGGAAGCUGCUCUCCCCUGUCUGCCAGCAAAUGGUCACUGAUCCAAGCGGGUCAGGCCAAUUCGACUGGAGCAGGGCAGAGAAGAUCCCGUUUGUUUCCCGAGGUAACUCCUGCCGUCCUCCUCUGUCUCUUCACGUGGCGGAGUGUUUUCUCAGCAGGAUGGGGCAGGACUCAGGUGGGAAAUCCUGGGAGGCGUUCUGCUUGCCCCCACCUUGCUGCUGCCGGGCCCUGGUCCCAUUGCUGAGCCGGGGGCUGGCAGAUCCCUGGGAGCGGCUGAGCCUGUGUUUCAGGGCAGCAUCAUGCGCCGAACAGGAAGGCUGCUUCCGGCAGUGUGGAGCCGGCGGUGGAGGGCAGGGUUAGGGCCUGUUCUCCAGCUGGCCAUGCUUGACCCUCCAGCUCCAGGCGAAGCUGCCAUCAGGGGCCAGUGUGCACUGCAGGUCGAUGCCCGAGUCUGGCACCUCCAUGUCGUAGCGAACAGGCUGCCCGUCUUUGGUCACCAAGCUGAAGGCUGCGGCUGGGAUCUAAGGGUGGAGCAAACCAGUGGGCUGAGAUCAUGGCAUGGGGCUCAAGCCACGGAGAAAGGUCAAGAGAGACUGCUCUCCUCCCCAAGCUAGGGGAACCUUCUGGGACUUCAUCAGCUGCCAAUGAGGGGAUAAUGGUCCUUCACUGCCCCAUCAGGAAAGGCUCGUGGGUGAUUUGGACCUUUGCUUGAAACCCAACUUACUGGCCAGGAACCUCAAGUUCUGGGACCAGGCGCCUUCCUCCCUCCCACUGUGCCAGGGGAGGGGAGACACAAUCCCUCAAUGGCUGUCUAGCUCCAGGCAGAUCAGCUGCUACGGGGGCUGCUGAGCAGGGAGAGGCUGUCGAUGCUGAGGCACGAGAGAAUUUGCUCCUGCUCCUCCAGAGAAAAUGGCUGGGACAGGCUGUUGAGGAAUAAUUCUGCAGGGAAAAGUGGAAGAUGGCUGUGAAAGACUGGGAGGAGGCUGGCUGUGUUUUCAGGGGUUCUUCCUGCACAGUCUGCAGAAGCUGAGCUGCUGGGGAAGGGGCUGGAAGAAAGCCCACACCGCAGCUGCUGCAGCUCCUGCUCCGGGAAGGUUGCUUUCCGCUCUGGUGAGCUGGGGUUUCUGGCAGGGGCUGGCUCCAGGGAGGACAGAGGUAAGGGUUCCCACAUCCCAGACUCCUCCUUGCUCAAAGUCAAGGGAGGAGACUUGUUUGGCUCUGGGGGCUCUGGUGGGAGAGGAGGCUGGAGCUUAGGGUCUCUGCCUGUUGUCUCCUCAGCUGGCCGGAGCCCUGGGGCCCUUGGCGAAAGCUCCCUCGGCUGGGCACGGAGGGUCUGGUGAUAAUUGGCUUGAUCUGGUGGUGGAUGUCUUGGUUCUUUAUAUUCUCCCCUCCAAGGGCUCUUCAGACCUCCCACUAGAAAACAGAGAGUACAAUGGUGAGGGGGUGCAUGCUGUGCACAGACAGCAGUCCAGGAAGGAGUGGCCUGUCCUGAGUGCAGAAGGGCUAGAGGAGAACAGAGGGGAGGACCCUGCCCCAGGCCACCACAGGAGGUGACUUCAGAAGGCAGCGUGGUGGUCUCCACAGGAGACUUCCUCAAUAAGAUGGUCCCAAUAUAACAGGGAUAGGACUGGAUUUCUGUCUUUGAUUCUGUUUUCUUCUAGGUAUCAGUAGCAAAUUCAAAAACUACAGAAUCAGCUCCAGAGGACUUUGUUAACAAGAAAGAGAAGAUUGAAAACAGCCCUGGGGCUACACCAACUCAAGAGCUCCCAGGCAAAGUGGCGUCCUGGACCCACAAUCUCUCCUACCCCAUCCUCAGUCAGUACUUCCCCAGGCACCGUUUGUUCUGGCGUGGGGCGAGUUCAGCCCUGGGACCACCCUCACAUCCUUAAAACUACCAGCUGUCUUUGGUGAGGUGCAAGAUCUCUCUGGUUUUAUUUCAUUUUCAUUCCUAUAAUCACAGCCUUUUUGUGCCCAUCCCUCAGGUGACAUUCUAUUACGUUUGAUGUGUCAUUUUUUAUUUGGUUGUGUCUUUGCAAAAUGUGUGUUGUUUUAUUUAUCAAUUUUUAUUUAUUUAUUUAUUUUUUGUUUUUUAAAGAGAUGAGGUCUCAUCAUGUUGCCCAGGCUGGACUCCAACUCCUGGGCUCAAGCGAUCCUUCCACCUCAGCCUCCUGAGUGGCUGGGACUACAGAUGUGCGCCACCAUACCUGGCUAUUGAUCAAUUUUUAGUUUACCAAACAGGCAUUAUGUUCUGGGUCCCAUUCUGUGUCGGGUUCUCUUUUCACUCGGCACCAUGGCUUUAGGAUCCAUCCAUGCUGCUCUGUGAACACCGAGUUGCUUUAACUGCUUGGCGCUCCAUGCGGCAUCCUCUUUUGUGUCUCUGUCCUACCAGUGAGGGACCCCAUCGUACCCUACUCCCCUCCCGCAAAGGAAGCUGUAGUGCGCGUCCUCAGGCGUGUCCCCAUAUGGAUCUGCUGGCAUUCCUUUGUCAGUGCACCCAGGGGUAGAGGUCCUUGGUCUCAGUCUGCAGACGUCUGCCUGAGUGCAGCCAGGUGCCCUCCAGAGUGGGUAGCCUUGUCCACAUGCCCAUCAGCAGCACCUGAGGGGUCCCAACAGCCCCCACAUCCCACCAACUUUCUGCUUUUUUCCAGUCAAAAGGCUCUCGAGUGUUACCUGGCUUUAUUUAUUUAUUUAUUUUUUGAGUCAGGGUCUCUGUUGCCCAGACUGGAGUGCAGCGGUACAAUCAUGGCUCACUGUAGCCUCGACCUCCCAGGCUCAAACAAUCCUCUCACCUCCUGAGUAGCUGGGACUACAGGCACGUGCCACCAUGCCUGGCUAAUUUUUAAAUUUUUUUUGCAGAGAAAGGGUCUUGCUAUGUUGCCCAGGCUGAUCUUGAACUCCUGGCCUCAAGCGAUCCUCCUGCCCCAGCCUCCCAAAGUGCUGGGAUUACAGGUGUGAGCCACUGCUCCCGGCCUGUCUUUAUUUUGUAUUCUUGGAUUCCUCGUGAGUUUGAGCCCCCUCUAUAUAUCAUAACCCUUGUGAUACUAGUAAACAUAUAUUUUGUCUUUAACCCCAUUUCUGGCACAUAACUCCUAAAAGCCUUACUCUCCAAAAUGAUCUCUUUCUGUGUGCUAAUGGAUUGACUGAAGGCUGGCAGCCCCUAGGUAGCUUCAGGAUGGGGGCUGGUCAUCAGAGAGACACAGGUAGGAUUAGAGGGUUGGGACUCUCAUCCCACUAUCCCACAUACUGGGAGGGAAGGGGGCUAAAGGUUAAGCUGUUCGCCAAUGGCCAGUGAUUUAUUCAAUCAUACCUAUGUAAUGAAGCCUCUACAAAAACCCAAGAAGAUAAGGUUCAGAGAACUUCUGGUAGCUGGGCACAUGGAGGUUCCUGGAGGGUGCCAAGCCCUGGAAGCUCCGCGCUUCCUCCCACACGCCUUGCCCUAUGCAUCUCUUCAUUUGUAUCCUUUGUAAUAUCCUUUCUAAUAAACCGGUAAAUGUAA